rnacentral:rRNA from 1 species
GUAGGUGGCAAGCGUUGUCCGGAAUUAUUGGGCGUAAAGCGCGCGCAGGCGGUCCUUUAAGUCUGAUGUGAAAGCCCACGGCUCAACCGUGGAGGGUCAUUGGAAACUGGGGGACUUGAGUACAGAAGAGGAAAGCGGAAUUCCAAGUGUAGCGGUGAAAUGCGUAGAGAUUUGGAGAAACACCAGUGGCGAAGGCGGCUUUCUGGUCUGUAACUGACGCUGAGGCGCGAAAGCGUGGGGAGCAAACAGGGAUUAGAUACCCUGGUAGUCCACGCCGUAAACGAUGAGUGCUAAGUGUUAGGGGGUUUCCCGCCCCUUAGUGCUGCAGCUAACGCAUUAAGCACUCCGCCUGGGGAGUACGGCCGCAAGGCUG